ensembl:lncRNA
UUCAGUUUGCUUGAGGCAAACAAUUGUAUUGUGUAUUACAGCAUGCAAGAGAUCUAAUUUUUUUUCCAUGCAGUAAAUUAGUAGCAGUUCAUUGUAAAGGUCAUCCUUCUUUGCAUCGCUUGCUAUGGGAGAUGUAGGAUUUCCUGGAGUUAGCUUUUGAUAGAUGCAGUCCUUCCAUUAAAGUUAAAUUUUUGAGGAUGGGACAGAAGUACAGCUACAGGUUGGCUCUUCACAGAAGCCAGUACUUGCCAUUGGUUAAAGUUGCUGUGACACAGUGUAAAACAGCCAGACACCAAGACAGAAUGAAGUGGUCAAGUUUUCAUCUAGUCUGAUGUCCUGUGUAUUAUGGGGUUACACAAAGAGCUUCCUACAAGGAAACCCUCCUCUCCACUGCCAAGGGCUUUGAAUACCUUUGGAAGAUGAAAGAC